UACAAGCUACUUUUUCCGGAUCUGUGCAAAUACCUCCACUACCAAUCACGUAACCAAGAUAAUUGAUACUUGUUACACAGAAUUGACUUUUCGAAAUAUUUAAAGUCAAGUUGGCUUUUCUAAGCUGCUCAGCGAUGCGAACCAAUACCGCCAGAUGUGAACUGAAAUCUUCUGACACAAUACACAGAUCAUCUAAAUAAACAAACACGCAAUAGCGCAGGUCAGAAGGAAUUAUCGCGUCCAUUAACCGACACAUGGUAGAAGGCGCGUUACAAAGGCCAAAGGGCAUGACCUUAAACCGAUAUAGCGGUCUUCCGGGGACCGUAAAAGCAGUGAGAGGCUUUGAAUCCUCGGAGAGUUCUAUUUGCCAAUAGGCGUCUUUCAAAUCUAGUUUGGAAAUUAUAUUCGCCUUAGGUAGCCGCGAAAAAAUGCCAUCGAUGCUCGGCAAAGGAUAAGCAUCUUUUUUGGUGGCGUCAUUCAGUCUUCGAGCAUCCAGACAAAGGCGCACCUUGUUGGGCUUAAGGACGAGUCGCAUAGGCGAGCUCCAAGCGCUUACAGACGGCUCAAUAACUCCAAGCUGCAACAUGCGAUCAAUUUCUGCAUAUAACAACUUUUCUACGGCCGGACUUACAGGAUAGAAUCUUUGUUUCACUGGACGUGCGUCUCCUAUAUCUAUACGGUGUUGGAUCAAUGUUGUGCGGCCUAAUCUAUCAGCAGCGUUAGGGAACAACUGCUUUACUACGUGCAGCUGUUGCGUUUGCUGGCUAUCCAAGGGAAUUUAUAAUGGUUGGCGCAAGCUCAAAGGCUCUCCAAAAAUCAUGACCCAAAAUUCGAUUUUGGUUUAUAGAAGGAAUCAUAUACAGUUUCAAGGACUUGGUAGCCGAUUUAUACUGCAUUUUAACUUCAAGCACUCCGAUGACUUUCUGACUAUGGCCAUCUGCUGUUCUGACAUGCGAUUUAAUAGGCUUAAAUUCCGGCAUUGCGGUAAAAUCUUGUUGCGCAAGCGUAGAACCUAUGCAGCUCAUAUUCGCGCCUGUAUCCAAUAGACCAAGCUCGGUAAAGGUUAAAAAUGACACUUCGGCAUAGCUGCGCAUAUCGGUGGGAUUGCAAAAAACUGUCGAAACUAAAAGCUUGCUAUGUUGCUUGAUUUUUGAAUAAUAACUUUUCAAGCCCUGCGUUCGCUGAGAAA